rnacentral:rRNA from 1 species
GGAGGAAAGCAGGGGAUCGCAAGACCUUGCGCUUUUGGAGCGGCCGAUGCCUGAUUAGCUUGUUGGUGAGGUAAAAGCUCACCAAGGCUCCGAUCAGUAGCUGGUCUGAGAGGACGACCAGCCACACUGGGACUGAGACACGGCCCAGACUCCUACGGGAGGCAGCAGUGGGGAAUUUUGGACAAUGGGGGCAACCCUGAUCCAGCCAUGCCGCGUGAGUGAAGAAGGCCUUCGGGUUGUAAAGCUCUUUCAGCCGGAACGAAACGGUCACGGUUAAUACCCGUGACUACUGACGGUACCGAAAGAAGAAGCACCGGCUAACUACGUGCCAGCAGCCGCGGUAAUACGUAGGGUGCGAGCGUUAAUCGGAAUUACUGGGCGUAAAGCGUGCGCAGGCGGUUUUGUAAGUCAGAUGUGAAAUCCCCGGGCUUAACCUGGGAACUGCGUUUGAAACUACAAAGCUAG